CGGGGUGAGUAACGCGUGGGCAACCUGCCCUGUACAGGGGGAUACCAUCUGGAAACAGAUGCUAAUACCGCAUAACCGCAUCAGCCCGCAUGGGCAGAUGCGGAAAGGGAGAAAUCCCGGUACAGGAUGGACCCGCGUCUGAUUAGCCAGUUGGCAGGGUAACGGCCUACCAAAGCGACGAUCAGUAGCCGGCCUGAGAGGGUGGACGGCCACAUUGGGACUGAGACACGGCCCAGACUCCUACGGGAGGCAGCAG
rnacentral:rRNA from 1 species